rnacentral:rRNA from 1 species
AGAGUUUGAUCCUGGCUCAGAGCGAACGCUAGCGGCAGGCUUAACACAUGCAAGUCGAGCGCCAGGUUUCGGCCUGGAGCGGCGAACGGGUGAGUAACACGUAGGUCACGUACCCUAUGGUGGGGAAUACCCCGGGGAAACUCGGAUCAAUGCCCCAUAUGUCCGAAAGGAUGAAAGCGCUUCGGCGCGCCAGAGGAUCGGCCUGCGGCCCAUUAUUUAAUCCUAGUUGGUGAGGUAACGGCUCACCAAGGGUACGAUGGGUAGCUGGUCUGAGAGGACGAUCAGCCACACUGGAACUGUGACACGGUCCAGACUCCUACGGGAGGCAGCAGUGGGGAAUAUUGGACAAUGGGCGAAAGCCUGAUCCAGCCAUGCCGCGUGAGUGAUGAAGGCCUUCGGGUUGUAAAGCUCUGUCGUGGGGGAAGAAGUUCUGACGGUACCCCACAAGAAAGCACCGGCUAACUCCGUGCCAGCAGCCGCGGUAAUACGGAGGGUGCAAGCGUUGCUCGGAUUUACUGGGCGUAAAGCGCACGCAGGCGGUCUGGAAGGUCGGGUGUGAAAGCCCGGGGCUCAACCCCGGAACUGCACUCGAAACCGCCAGACUUGAGGUCGAGAGAGGAGGGUAGAAUUCCUGGUGUAGAGGUGAAAUUCGUUGAUAUCAGGAGGAAUACCGGUGGCGAAGGCGGCCCUCUGGCUCGAUUCUGACGCUCAUGUGCGAAAGCGUGGGGAGCAAACAGGAUUAGAUACCCUGGUAGUCCACGCUGUAAACGAUGAAUGCCAGGUGUUGGAGGUUUCACCCCUUCAGUGCCGUCGCUAACGCUUUAAGCAUUCCGCCUGGGGAGUACGGUCGCAAGAUUAAAACUCAAAGGAAUUGACGGGGGCCCGCACAAGCGGUGGAGUAUGUGGUUUAAUUCGACGCGACGCGCAGAACCUUACCCGGCCUUGACAUCCUUGGAACCCGGCGGGAACGUUGGGGUGCCCCCUCACGGGGGAGCCAAGAGACAGGUGCUGCAUGGCUGUCGUCAGCUCGUGUCGUGAGAUGUUCGGUUAAGUCCGGCAACGAGCGCAACCCCUGCUGAUAGUUGCCAUCAUUCAGUUGGGCACUCUAUCGAGACUCCCGGUGUCAAACCGGCGGAAGAUGGGGAUGACGUCAAGUCCUCAUGGCCCUUACGGUCGGGGCUACACACGUACUACAAUGGUAUCUACAGAGGGCAGCGAGACCGCGAGGUGGAGCCAAUCCCAAAAAAGAUGCCUCAGUUUGGAUUGGAGUCUGCAACUCGACUCCAUGAAACCGGAAUCGCUAGUAAUCGCGGAUCAGAAUGCCGCGGUGAAUACGUUCCCGGGCCUUGUACACACCGCCCGUCACACCACGAAAGUUGGCUCAACCCGAAGUCGCUCACCCAACCCGCAAGGGAGGGAGGCGCCAACGGUCGGGUCGAUGGUUGGGGUGAAGUCGUAACAAGGUAGCCGUAGGGGAACCUGCGGCUG